AGAUCUUGACAUCCUAAGAAGGCUAUAGAAAUAUGGCUGUGCCUACGGGAGCUUAGAGACAGGUGGUGCAUGGUUGUCGUCAGCUCGUGUCGUGAGAUGUUGGGUUAAGUCCCGCAACGAGCGCAACCCUUACCAUUAGUUGCUACGCAAGAGCACUCUAAUGGGACUGCCGUUGACAAAACGGAGGAAGGUGGGGAUGACGUCAAAUCAUCAUGCCCUUUAUGAUCUGGGCUACACACGUACUACAAUGGCUACUAACAAAGUGAAGCGAGACCGCGAGGUGGAGCGAAACACAAAAAGUAGUCUCAGUUCGGAUUGUAGGCUGAAACUCGCCUACAUGAAGUCGGAAUUGCUAGUAAUCGCGAAUCAGAAUGUCGCGGUGAAUACGUUCCCGGGCC
rnacentral:rRNA from 1 species